CCGCCCGUACCGCAUGGACGGGGCUGCGGGCCGGUGUCCGCGGCCGGGACCGGUUCUGCCGCCGGCCCGGCGGCC
rnacentral:tRNA from 1 species